UUCGCUUCAUAGUUAUGCCUUAGCUUAGUUCUUAUGAGUUUUCUUUGAUUGAUUGAAGAAUGGGUGAUAAGGCGGAUUGGGGUGAUACUUUUUUAAGGCAUUUGAUUGAUGCUUGCAAAGAAGAGAUUGAAGCAGGGAAUAGGCCGAUGGCAAUUUUCACUACUACCGGUUGGAAGAACGGUUGUUUCCAAGUUUGCAGAAAAAUCCGGUGAUAGAACAAAAAAAAUAAUUGAAGAACAAGUUAGAUCUUCUAAAAAAGGAGUAUGUCACGUUUAUGGAGUUCAAGAAUUGUGCAAUUGGUCUUGGAUGGGAUGAGGCAAAACAAACUGUUGACUCCUCAGACGAAUGGUGGGACGAACACCUUGCUGUAAGAACUAUGUUUCUUGAUAAUUAUAUUCUUCCCAUUCUUUGUACAAAGCUGAAUACAGGGAAACGUCAGAAACUGGAAUUCAAUGGGUGAUGAGGUGUAUGUCACGUCCGAGAUAUUUUUAUAAGAUGUUUCGGAUGAGCACCGAGAUUUUCGAUAAA